rnacentral:rRNA from 2 species
GAUUUCUGGCUUGAUUCGCCUGGCCCGCCACGGUAACGUGUGUGAGUGCUGGGUCGAGUCGGCCAUCCUUCGUUUAUGAUUGAUUGUCCUUUAUUGGGCAGUCAACUCGUGGACGAUCGUUUACUUUGAAAAAAUUAGAGUGUUUCAAGCAGGCUUUAGCUUUGAAUACAUGAGCAUGGAAUAAUAAAGUAGGACUUCGGUUCUAGUUUGUUGGUUUGGAGAGCUGAAGUAAUGAUGGAUAGGGACAGUUGGGGGUGCUAGUAUUCAGCGGCCAGAGGUGAAAUUCUUGGAUUCGCUGAAGACUCACUACGGCGAAAGCAUU